GAUAUUGACGCUGGCGGCAGGCCUAACACAUGCACGUCGAGCGGUAGAGAGAAGCUUGCUUCUCUUGAGAGCGGCGGACGGGUGAGUAAUGCCUAGGAAUCUGCCUGGUAGUGGGGGAUAACGUUCGGAAACGGACGCUAAUACCGCAUACGUCCUACGGGAGAAAGCAGGGGACCUUCGGGCCUUGCGCUAUCAGAUGAGCCUAGGUCGGAUUAGCUAGUUGGUGAGGUAAUGGCUCACCAAGGCGACGAUCCGUAACUGGUCUGAGAGGAUGAUCAGUCACACUGGAACUGAGACACGGUCCAGACUCCUACGGGAGGCAGCAGUGGGGAAUAUUGGACAAUGGGCGAAAGCCUGAUCCAGCCAUGCCGCGUGUGUGAAGAAGGUCUUCGGAUUGUAAAGCACUUUAAGUUGGGAGGAAGGGUUGUAGAUUAAUACUCUGCAAUUUUGACGUUACCGACAGAAUAAGCACCGGCUAACUCUGUGCCAGCAGCCGCGGUAAUACAGAGGGUGCAAGCGUUAAUCGGAAUUACUGGGCGUAAAGCGCGCGUAGGUGGUUUGUUAAGUUGGAUGUGAAAUCCCCGGGCUCAACCUGGGAACUGCAUUCAAAACUGACUGACUAGAGUAUGGUAGAGGGUGGUGGAAUUCCCGUGUACCGGUGAAAUGCCUAGAUCU
rnacentral:rRNA from 1 species